AAAAUUAUAGCCUCAGUGCUUCUAACAAACUUUAAACACAAACCUGACACAUUUAUAUAUAGUCAUCCUCCCAGAAUACAAAGUCUCUUGUUUUAUAUUCCUAUAUAUAGAUACAUAUACUUAAAACUUAAGGUUCUUCGGAAGUCCCUGAUCAGAGGCCUGUGUCAGUCUGCUCCCUCUUCCCCUCGGUAUGCCACUGAUAGUAUCCAUACAUAAUAGCAUAUUGUAUUAUGGUGGCAUAUUCUUUAUUGAUAAGCUUGAGGAUGAUUGUAGUGUGUUUGUAUCCAGUUUAGUACAUAUCAGCAUCAUUGUUUUAUAUAUGGGUCAGGUGACCAUCUUUGUAUGUAGAGAGGAACAUAAGUAUCUUUUCUAUAGACUGAUGUGUAAAAUGUUCUGUCUUAUAUUACAGUAUCUACAUCUAGGAAGUGUAUGUUAUGUUUGGCUAUUGUUCAGUUUUAAGAUCUA
rnacentral:lncRNA from 1 species